rnacentral:lncRNA from 1 species
ACCUUGUGACCCUGACUUUCUCAAGGUUCUACCUUUGUCUCCCUAAACCUCAGGGCUUUCAUUGUCUACACACAGAAGAACCACCUUUGAAAACAACCAGUUGUUAGCCAGCUGUUUAAGUGAACUCAACCUCCUGGCACAGGAAAUGCACAGAUGAUGCAUAUACAAGGCCUGAGCAAUGGAGAUUGAAGAUAAAAUCUUUCUUGGGAUGACGUUCAUCGACAGCCAGACAACAAUGUGACAUGGGUUGUCUCACCAAGAGUCACUGAAGUCCAGCAGCAGAACAAAAGUCAAGAUUGUGAU